GCAUUAGAGCCCUACACUAUGUCCUGAAAGUUGGGGAUAGAGGGCAGACUGCCAGGUUUACAGAGAGUUGUAAGAAAGAUAGAAUAUAGAAUAAUGGAAACAUGCCACUAUUUGCUAACACUUUACUGUAACUGCGAUUAAAACUCCAUUAUUGAAUCUUAUAGCUCUUAAUGGUAAUAAAUUAUAUACAACAAUUUGAGGAGGUUUAAGAGUAAUGGACUAUACAGUAUGUGCAGUAUAACCUUGUGUUGAGUUCAGUGAAUGGGAUUUGUAUAGAACAGUUUUAUAGUCUGUUGUUUUGAUAAAUACAGUAUAUAUUUCACUUAUACAUCACGGAAUACGUCUGGAUGCAUGCUGUGACGGUUCUAUGUUUAAUGCCCCCCCACACACACAGUAUAAAUAGUAAAGCUGAUUUCUUGUAAUAACAUAGCAGAACCCCUGGUAGGAUAAAUACAGAGCCAGUUUUGAUUUGCAGCACUUAAGUUCAUCUACACAUCUGGACCAUGUGCCAUAUCUUGUGCUCAGCUUUUCCAAGCUCUGCCUGUUAUUGGGGUAUGUUUAGGUGUGUUUUAGGCAAUUCAACGGCUGAUGUUAAGUUCAAAUUAUUGGAAGUGGGACACUGGACUGUUACUGGGGUUGACCUGCAGAGGGCUAGGGUGCAAAAUAAAGCUGGCCAUAGACGUGCAGAUUUACACUCAUAACGAACUAACAAUCAUUCGGUGCCAUCUCCCGACCUGACACUUACCAUUCAGAUCAAAUAAAGUAGUAAAAAAAACAGGUCAGCCGAUGUUCUGCCCCUGACAGCAAUCGUACGAAAGUUAUGUCAGACAAAAGCUGGUAUCGUCAGUUCGGCUAUACAUGCAGAGAUAUUGUCAGUAGCCAACAGAAAUUUUCCAACCUGUCCGAUGAACCGAACGACUGAUCGCCAUCUCACAAAAGUGACGGUACACUCCAAACACGGCCCUAAAAUCGUACGAAACGGAGAUUCGUACGAUCAAAUCUUUGUGUCAAUGGGCAGCUUAAGUGUUCAGGUUCUGAGCAAUUGUUGGAGGAGGAGAAUGUAGUUAGUCAAACUAUUAGUGCACAGAUAACCACCUCUGCAGACCACAAAACAGAGAUUAAAGAUUAUGGUUGAAUUUUAUUAUUGGAUAAUAAUCCAUCAUUUGAGUAUGUGCUUAAAGCACUAGUAUUUUACUUUUCAUAAAAUGGAGAAUGCAGAAAAUGCUAAGUUAUAUUAUAUGGUUUUAGAUCUGUAAAGUGAGUGAGAAUUCUGCAACUCAUUGCUUUGAGCUUAAAAGUCCUCAUUGCAUUUCCCUCAUUUCCCAAAUUUUAGCCCCAAUACAGUAUAUGCUUUAACAGCCAGAGGUGUAGGGGCAUUUUGCUACCAAGCAAUGUAUUUGUUAUAAUUCACUUGAAUGGAAUGUAGAAACUUUGUACCUACUUUGCUGGCACACUACAAUUUUUCUGUAUUUUCCAAAGUAACACCUAAAUAAAUUCCUACUCACAUACAGUAUGAUCAGAUAGUGGACCCUACUACUGGUUUUUCUUUUUAAAAAAACCAUGCCAUGGAAAGAUUGCUUACAGAAAUCAAUUAAACUUUCUGUUUUACAGAUACUAAGGCAUUAAGAGUUUGAAGAAGUUUGCAAAGCUACAUGCAAUGGGGCAUAACAAUUCAGUCAAGCCAGGCUGUGCAACAUGCACGCCAGAUGAAAUGGCCGGCUUUCUGACACAGCCGAUGGAUUAUUUGAAGUGGUAGCCCCUGGAGGAUAUAUAUUUUAUUUGGAAGACAAAGAUCAGCCAAAAACAGUGUAAGUUGGAACUGCAGGAAAUUGGUGGACCAGUGGACCAUGGGACAGCAUUUGGCAGAAUUGCCUUUGCUUGCCCUAAAGAUGAGCUUCCAAGCAUCGCAGCACAGAUGAAAAAAGAAAAUCAAAACAUUUUGACUCCUCUAGUCAGCCUGGACACACCUGGAAAAGCCACUGUUCAAGUUGUAAUUUUGCCUGAUCCUGCUAUGACCGCAGACAAGAGUGAAGAAUGGUUUGCAAAACACAAUAGACAGAAGCCUUCUGCCUAGGUGAACGUAAGCAAACUUUAUACCAUCUGAAUAAAAAACUGCAGCGCAGAAUGGAAGAACUGUGCGCAAUUCAACUACACAAAUGAAAUGCAGUAGCUACUUAAUGAUUCUAAUGUUUAUUAAAAUUCCAGAUUUUUUUUUCUGAUGCAUUUAAUUUGGCAUUACAAAACUUAGCUUUUAAUAAUAUUGAUGGGCUUAGCUAUGAAUUUGUGGUAAAGUGCAAAAGAAGUGGCACCAAACUUUGUUUGCCAAAAUUCCAUUUUCUGCUUUCACUCUCCGGUGUUAAAAGAAGUGCAAAAAGUUGCAUCGGUCUUUGUGUGCCGUGCUGCAUGUGUUUAGCUGGAAAGGUGGCAUGUGAUUAAGAACCUACAAGCAGGAGAGUACUGGGAGGUGCAAAGUACUAGGAGGUGAGCACUUACCAUAUUAA